GCAGGCAUGAGACUCCGGCUGCUCCUGUGUAUCGUGUUUUUCCUCCUGGCGAGCCUCCUGCCUGCCGACGGACAGCGGACAGCCAACCUGGCCCUGCGCAGGAAGCUCCACCGGCCCGGCUGCUCACACCGGCGCUGCGUGCCGCUCCACUCCAGGGUGCCCUUCCCCUGAGCGCCACUGGAGCCUGGCCCAGGUAACACACGCGUGUCGGGGCCUCGCGUCCUGCGAGGCGUCCCGCUCCCCGCAACGAGCACGUGUUCUAAUUCACACCUUCGUUUCGGAGCAGUUUAAGAGGCACUUGGCGAAGCAAGCCGAGCCAGGGGCGUGGUUUCACCCGGCCUCCCUCCGCUUGCUCUGAGCGCAGGGCUUCAGACAGACGCACGGUGGGGCGCGCGGCUGUUGCUCCCCGCAGCGCCCCGUUAUUCCCCUCCCCGGCCACCGCUCCCGGCGCUAACGCCUUCCCUUUCUGGUACAAAACAACCGGAUCUGCUAAACAGGGCAAACUACUGCCCUACAAGUGCUUAAGAUAGCCAGCAAAGCUGGCGAUGAGCAUAAAGGCUGCACAAAGCAGUAGCUAGAGAAGAUGCUCCGGCUCUUGUGUCGGAUGCAGGGUGAAGUCACCUCACUCUGCCCCUCAGUAACAUGAAGGUAGUAGCAUUUACCCACUUCAAAGAGGACUGUAAUUCUUCAUCAUUGUCAGCAAGACUUUGAGCUCCUUAGAUGAAAGGCUAUACAAGUGCAAAACAUUAAUGCUUUAUAGCUGAUGAGGGCAUAUACAUUCAAAUACUAAGUGGCUGCAGAAGAGCACAGGUAGCAUAUGCAAAUAGAGUAGGCAUCAAAAGGAAACCGAGGCGCUCUUGCAAUUGAGAAUGAAUAAAACAUGCAGUUGGUAGUUUUGCAUCUUCUAAACUCAUUAUGUAUUAAAAUAAUGUUGUAGCCCCAGGCAUGACAGCAUCAUAAAUACAUGAUGGCAGAACCUGCUCUCUGUGGACCCAGAUGUUUCAAUUUAUGAAGCAGUUAAUAGUGAAAAGGAGACUAAAGUCAAGCUUUUAAAAACUCUAUACCAAGAAUCUUGUCAAUGCAUAAAUUGCCUUGGUGAAAAGAGCCCACACCACUCCCAAAACAGCCAUGCAAAGAGGUACCAUUCCACCCCAUAGUGCUGGCCUGUAAACACGUGGAAUGUGCAUAUGGGAUGGUAAACUGGCAAGUUUGUGAGGCUGAAAAAAGAUUACCAUAUCUUAAGUUUAAUCUCAGAUGGGUUGCAUAGUGAGUGGCAGAAUGGAGCUGCAAGUCGAAAGAGGGGCAUGACAAGGAUGCUUUACUGCUGAAUGCCAUGUCUCAUCACUGCAGUCAAUUCAGAAAGAGACAGAUUAAAUGAGAUUCCCUCAUCAGUGUAAGCAUAAACCUAAAAAGAUAGGCAAUCAGAUCAAUUCAUUUGGCAUGCAGAGACUGAAUGACAGGGACAGUGGAAUUUAGGCCCGGAGACUUUGAAUUGAUUCUGAAUGGCUUACUUCAGUUCCUAAGAAAAGUAAAUUUAACCUCCGUUCCUCCAGUUCAGUAUCUGUAAUGUGGAGACUGUCUGAAAAAAGCAUUUACAUUUUCUCUAACUGCAUAUAAUGCAUUUUGCCUGUGACUGCACUAGCUGCACAGUACAUGUGCACUUAUACUGGAAUUAUUUUCCCAUAGUGUAUCUAGACAAAAGAUAUUUUCAGUGUUAUCUCCUUAUCCACAAGGAGCCGAAUUCUUCCAACGAAAGUCACUGGCAAGGCAAAACAGUGUACUUACUAAUUCAUAAUACAUUUUGUGGACGUUUAGCUAAAGAUAAUUCUGCUUUAUAAAGCUGUUUAGAAACCUAUAAAGCUUGACUGGGGAGUAAGGGGUGACAGGCACCUGAACUAACUCUCUUAACCCCAGUUGUCAUUGUGGGUGCUCAGCUCCUUUAUCUUAAGUAAGAUUUACCACCUACGUUUACAUUCCCUUCCAGUUUUAGUCCUAAUUCAGCAAAUAUUUACAUGCCUGGGUAACUUGACUCACAUGAGUAAUCUUACCAAUCUCAAUGGAGUUGUACAUAUGGAUAAAGCUAUUUGCAGAUGCAAACAGGAUGGGCCCUUAAGCCUGAAUUUCAACAGGUGGUUGGAAACUGGGAUGAGCACAGCAGCCUCUCUUUUUCUCACAUUUGAAAUGAUGAGAGGACUGAACUUGAUUUUUCACCAGUUAACAUGGGCAAAACAUGGGACAAAAAAAGAAAUGGAAGACAAUCUUACAUUAGAAGCCUUCUUGCUUUUGUUUUGUUUUGGUUUUUUUUCUUUUUCCUCUUAACCUUUUUAGCUGAAAUUCCCAAAUAAUAAACAUUGCCCCAAAUUUCACCCAUAUUUCAUAAAUAAUAUUUUCUAUUUUGCAUGAGACAUUAGACUACUAAAUCUCUCACUGAUGGCUAUUUCUUUCCUUUUAUUUUUUCCCCAGCAAUUUCAUAAUGGGCUUUUCAGUGUUUUAAACGAGCAAAAAUUAAAUCGAUGGACAAGUUAGUCAGCAGUCCAGAUCAACAACAGCUGACCUGAGAGAGCCACUGCAGUCCUGUCUUCAGCAGUCCUGUCUGUCACAUUCGCAAGACCUGGAAGGCCCUGGCUCACACCUUAGGAAGUGGGGAGGGGAGAAAUGGAGGGUGGUGAUGGGAGGAUGUACAUGAAACUUACCUGGCUGAAACAUUCCAUAUAAAUUCCUUGGCUCUCAUAAGGACUACUGAAAGUUAAAGACCAAAUCAAACAUCAGGUACAUGAGAUGGAUUUUCAGUGGAUCUGUCCAAAGGGACUCUUAAUGGUCUAUACUGUUCAGACUGAAACUGGAUGUGCUGUUGACUACUUAAUUCUCGCUGUGUGUAGGGCAGCAUUUAGGGUGAAACAACAUCGGACUCCAGCACAGAAGGUGAAAGUCCAUUUUUUUGUUUAUACUUUUAUAUAUUAAUAAUAUAUACAUGUAUAUUUUUACAGCUAACAUUACAUCUUUAUGGAAUUGCCUUAAUAAUAAUGUAGAAUGUAUUACUGUAAUAGUACCAAAGUCAUCACUAUACUACUGGUCCUACUGGCUUCACGUAUAGUAACCAUAGUAGGAGUUUACAAUGUAAGAAAGCAAAGAAAGUAUUAUCCUUCAUUCUAUAGAUAGAGAAUUGAAGCACACAGAGAUAAGAGAUUAGCCAAGGGUCAUGCAAAACUUUGAUAACUCGUUAUCCCUCAACUCAGGCCUUAAGGUCAAGCCCAUCUUCCUGUCUAAUGAGCUGUUACUGCAAAGCCUAUCGUUUGUUUUCUUAAACUGAGCUGCCAAACCAGACAGCUGAAACAUACUUGAAAAUUCAGUACUAUAGAACUAUUUGCUUAAUAGUAGUUUUCCUAAAAUACCCACCACAGUAUUAUAAAUAGAGCAUAAAAAUAGACCAUUGAAAAGAAACCUUUGUUUGGUGAACCCCAGUGUUGCGUAGUACUCUAUUCCUGUAAUUUAAAUGAAUGGGAUAUAUGGAACACAGCACUACAAUGAAUGAGGACUUCAAACAAAAAACAGACCGUUCUUUUCAGUCCUGGAGGUCAAAAAUACAUUGAGCUUUUAUUUUAUGUUUUGUUUUCAAAAAUGUACAUUUCGCAUGUUUUUAUAGCACCAGAAAUUCCAAACCUCCAUAUAAAGGAAAACAUGGUAGCCCUUGCAUUAGCAGAACUAAACCAAACCUGAAAUAAGUCAUACCCAGAUUUUUAAGCCAUUACACUAGAUUCGCAAUUUCCACAUUUUUUGUAAGUUGUAUAAAGGUGACUGAAGAUCAGCAGUGCCACGGUUUAAAUCCAGUAUCAGAUUUUUGUCUUGCAACACAGUUUCUAAUAAGAACAGCAAUCAAAAAAAGCAGACAGCUGAAACCUUCUGAUCAGUGUCUGUAUCUAACCCCUCAUCUCUAAGAACUUGAAACCUGAAUCAGAUUCAUACUGGCAGAGCUUAACAGAAGUUUCAAAUGUCUCUGUAUAGAGGGAGAAAAAAACCCCAAAACCAAAACCCAACGAACUCAAAAAACCCAAAAAAACCAAACAUCACACCUUAUUCUGGAGUUCUGGAAAAUCAUCAUAAAAGAUGGUCAAACUUAUCUAUACCAACAUCCCUGCAGGUAAACCUUUGGAGUUUUGAAGAAAAAAAACCAAACCAGUUUUCCAAAAUUGGAGGCAUACUACCACUAAUUUUAUUUUUUAAUUAUUUAACUUGGCUUUCAUAUGUAUCCAUGGCUAUCUCUGUUUAGAAGUAGAGGUAAAGAGUAUGGGAAAGCAAGAAAUGCAAAGAGUAACUAUUUUAACAGUUAUAAAUGAGUAUACGGAUUUAGUGUGGCACUGGAUAUUUUAUAUAACCAUAAUUCAGUUAACUUUGAU
rnacentral:lncRNA from 1 species